UACGUAGGGCGCAAGCGUUGUCCGGAUUUAUUGGGCGUAAAGAGCGUGUAGGCGGCCUGAAAGGUCAGCUGUGAAAACUCGAGGCUCAACCUCGAGACGUCGGUUGAAACCAUCUGGCUAGAGUCCGGAAGAGGAGUGUGGAAUUCCCGGUGUAGCGGUGAAAUGCGCAGAUAUCGGGAAGAACACCCGUGGCGAAGGCGGCACUCUGGGACGGUACUGACGCUGAGACGCGAAAAGCGUGGGGGAGCGAACAGG
rnacentral:rRNA from 1 species